CAGCAGCCACGGUAAAACGAAGGGGGCUAGCGUUGUUCGGAUUUACUGGGCGUAAAGCGCACGUAGGCGGACUUUUAAGUCAGGGGUGAAAUCCCGGGGCUCAACCCCGGAACUGCCUUUGAUACUGGAAGUCUUGAGUAUGGUAGAGGUGAGUGGAAUUCCGAGUGUAGAGGUGAAAUUCGUAGAUAUUCGGAGGAACACCAGUGGCGUAGGCGGCUCACUGGACCAUUACUGACGCUGAGGUGCGAAAGCGUGGGGAGCAAACAGGAUUAGAUACCCCCGUAGUCCCUGUCUCUUAUAC
rnacentral:rRNA from 1 species